rnacentral:rRNA from 1 species
UAGGGAAAGUUUUUCGGUGUAGGAUGAGACUAUAUAGUAUCAGCUAGUUGGUAAGGUAAUGGCUUACCAAGGCUAUGACGCUUAACUGGUCUGAGAGGAUGAUCAGUCACACUGGAACUGAGACACGGUCCAGACUCCUACGGGAGGCAGCAGUAGGGAAUAUUGCGCAAUGGGGGAAACCCUGACGCAGCAACGCCGCGUGGAGGAUGACACUUUUCGGAGCGUAAACUCCUUUUCUUAGGGAAGAAUUCUGACGGUACCUAAGGAAUAAGCACCGGCUAACUCCGUGCCAGCAGCCGCGGUAAUACGGAGGGUGCAAGCGUUACUCGGAAUCACUGGGCGUAAAGGGCGCGUAGGCGGAUUAUCAAGUCUCUUGUGAAAUCUAAUGGCUUAACCAUUAAACUGCUUGGGAAACUGAUAGUCUAGAGUGAGGGAGAGGCAGAUGGAAUUGGUGGUGUAGGGGUAAAAUCCGUAGAUAUCACCAAGAAUACCCAUUGCGAAGGCGAUCUGCUGGAACUCAACUGACGCUAAGGCGCGAAAGCGUGGGGAGCAAACAGGAUUAGAUACCCUGGUAGUCCACGCCCUAAACGAUGUACACUAGUUGUUGGGGUGCUAGUCAUCUCAGUAAUGCAGCUAACGCAUUAAGUGUACCGCCUGGGGAGUACGGUCGCAAGAUUAAAACUCAAAGGAAUAGACGGGGACCCGCACAAGCGGUGGAGCAUGUGGUUUAAUUCGAAGAUACGCGAAGAACCUUACCUGGGCUUGAUAUCCUAAGAACCUCUUAGAGAUAAGAGGGUGCUAGCUUGCUAGAACUUAGAGACAGGUGCUGCACGGCUGUCGUCAGCUCGUGUCGUGAGAUGUUGGGUUAAGUCCCGCAACGAGCGCAACCCACGUAUUUAGUUGCUAACGGUUCGGCCGAGCACUCUAAAUAGACUGCCUUCGUAAGGAGGAGGAAGGUGUGGACGACGUCAAGUCAUCAUGGCCCUUAUGCCCAGGGCGACACACGUGCUACAAUGGCAUAUACAAUGAGACGCAAUACCGCGAGGUGGAGCAAAUCUAUAAAAUAUGUCCCAGUUCGGAUUGUUCUCUGCAACUCGAGAGCAUGAAGCCGGAAUCGCUAGUAAUCGUAGAUCAGCCAUGCUACGGUGAAUACGUUCCCGGGUCUUGUACUCACCGCCCGUCACACCAUGGGAGUUGAUUUCACUCGAAGCCGGAAUACUAAACUAGUUACCGUCCACAGUGGAAUCAGCGACUGGGGUGAAGUCGUAACAAGGUAACCGUAGGAGAACCUGCGGUUGGA